AAGCUAGAGAGAGAAUAACUAAACCAGAGAAGGCAAGAGGUUGUGUUGUUAACGACGACGAAGAAGACGACCAAUGAUGUCUUCCGGCGGGGACAGUGGGAAGCCAUUUUUCUGUCACGUGUGCAAUCAGAGGAUAACGUGCACCGAUGAGUCGGAACCGUUCUGCCCGAUCUGUCUGGAAGGUUUCGUGGAGGAAUGGAACCCUAAUAACCAUAGUCAUAACCCUAACCCUAAUUUCACCCAUGAAAGUGGGGGAGAAUCUAUGGAUCCCGAAUUCCCGUUCGAUUUAAUCGACACCAUGCUCCCCCUCUUGCUCAACGCGGGUUCCAGGACCCGCCGCGAAGCCGACAUGUUCGACCCAAGGACCUACCUCCAGAACUACCUGCAGAACCUUCGCGCCGACGGCGCUAACAUUCAAUUCUCCUUCGGCAACCCUUCCGACACGGGGUUCCGCCCCUCGUCAAACCUUGGCGACUACUAUCUCGGCCCGGGCUUUGAGCAGUUGAUUCAGCUGCUCGCCGACAACGACCCAAACCGUUACGGCACGCCACCGGCCGCAAAGGACGCCGUCGAAAAUCUCCCCACAGUCACCGUCGACGAUGAGUUGCUGAACUCUGAAAUGAACCAAUGCGCGGUCUGCCAGGACGAGUUCGAGAAGGGCACGCAGGUGACGCAGAUGCCUUGCAAGCACGCGUAUCAUGCUGACUGCCUGAUUCCUUGGCUUAAGCUGCAUAACUCUUGCCCCGUUUGUCGGUAUGAACUGCCCACCGAUGACGCGGAUUAUGAGAAUCGGACGCGGAGCAGUGGCGAUGAUGGUGGGUCGAGGUCUGAUGUGAGCGAUAGUGGCAGUGGCAGUGGCGGUGGCGCGGGAGGGGGAAAUGGUAGACCUGUUCACCGGACUGUUAGAAUAUAUUUGCGGCAUCCUUUUGAUGCAGGUGACUCUGCGCAGGACAGUUCCGAAAGGGGAUGGGAGAGUUGGGAUUGAAAUUUGUCUUUUGACCAUGGAGCUGGUUGUCCGGCACUCUUGCACAAAGAAGUGGUUUAUGCAGGAACAAAGAGAAAGAGGUAUUGUUCGUGUUUAAAACUCUGGAAACUAUUGUGCAGCUAAGGGUUCCGGGAAUAGAUUACUAUCUUUGCCAUGUUUGCAGAAGUCCUUGUGAGGAUUGUAAGAGAUGUUAUUUUGCGUGGCCAUGAACAUGAACUUUGUUCGAUCAAAGCGGAUUGCAUGAAAGCUCACAAUUAUUGAGACUUUAGGUACUGCGUUAUUUUGUACAGAUCAUCUUCCAAACAUCCAUUAUUAUUGAUCAUCCUUUAUGCAAUACUUAGUUAGUCAUGGUCUAUAUUUCUCCUAUGUGUGUAUAAAACGUUUUAAUUUCGAAAUUUUUAUUUCAACCAUUUU